AAGUCGUAACAAGGUUUCCGUAGGUGAACCUGCGGAAGGAUCAUUAACACGUAUCCAAACGUAAAAAACCCCCCCCGUGAACAUUCAAUCCUGCUCUUGUAACCCGCGUAGUUCGCAAUCUCUGGUAAAUCAUAGCCCGGAAAGUAGUUUUGAUUCAGAGACCUCUGGCUACGUGAGAACAUUGGAACAGUUACAAUCGAGCGGUAGUUUCAUAGGCAUUGUUUCCCCAAGCAGUCAGUGUCUGAAAGUGUCACUGAUUGCUGUAGACCGUACACUCGGGCAGGAGCUAUGCCAAACCCCACAGUUUAAUGUGAAGCUCAAUGUCAUACAUUGGGUAAAAAAACCGAACAACUGUUAACAAUGGAUAUCUUGGUUCUC
rnacentral:misc_RNA from 1 species